rnacentral:rRNA from 1 species
AGUGAACGCUGGCAGUAGGCCUAACACAUGCAAGUCGAACGGCAGCACAGUAAGAGCUUGCUCUUACGGGUGGCGAGUGGCGGACGGGUGAGGAAUACAUCGGAAUCUACUUUUUCGUGGGGGAUAACGUAGGGAAACUUACGCUAAUACCGCAUACGACCUACGGGUGAAAGCAGGGGAUCUUCGGACCUUGCGCGAUUGAAUGAGCCGAUGUCGGGUUAGCUAGUUGGCGGGGUAAAGGCCCACCAAGGCGACGAUCCGUAGCUGGUCUGAGAGGAUGAUCAGCCACACUGGAACUGAGACACGGUCCAGACUCCUACGGGAGGCAGCAGUGGGGAAUAUUGGACAAUGGGCGCAAGCCUGAUCCAGCCAUACCGCGUGGGUGAAGAAGGCCUUCGGGUUGUAAAGCCCUUUUGUUGGGAAAGAAAAGCAGCAGGUUAAUACCCCGCUGUUCUGACGGUACCCAAAGAAUAAGCACCGGCUAACUUCGUG